CCCAUUCCGAACACGGUAGUUAAGCUCGCUCGUGCCGAAAAUACUUGGUUGGUAACGACCCGGGAAAAUAGGUCAAUGCUGACA
rnacentral:rRNA from 1 species